UAAAAAGUAAGCUAAUUUAAGCUUUUGGGUUCAUACCCCAAAUAUAGAAUUUUAUUCUCUUUUUAA
rnacentral:tRNA from 1 species